UACAGAGGUCUCAAGCGUUGUUCGGAUUCAUUGGGCGUAAAGGGUGCGUAGGUGGUGGGGUAAGUCGGAUGUGAAAUCCCGGGGCUCAACCCCGGAACUGCAUUCGAAACUGCCUUGCUCGAGUACUGGAGAGGAGACUGGAAUUUACGGUGUAGCAGUGAAAUGCGUAGAUAUCGUAAGGAAGACCAGUGGCGAAGGCGAGUCUCUGAACAGUUACUGACACUGAGGCACGAAGGCCAGGGGAGCAAACGGG
rnacentral:rRNA from 1 species